rnacentral:SRP_RNA from 1 species
GCUGGGUGUGGUGGCACAUGCCUGUAAUCCCAGCUACUGGGGAGGCUGAGGCGGGAGAAUUGCUUGAACCCAGGAGUCAGAGGCUGCAGUGAGCUUAGAUUGUGCCACUGCACUCCAACCUGGGUGACAGAGUGAGACCCUGUCUCAA